UGGAAACAUACUAUAGUUAAAGACUUGAACAACUAUUAAAGUGGUGUGUAAGAGGCUGCAUGAUCUGCAUGAUUUACUUGGUCCAAUAAGUAAGUACCAUUAUCACAGUCAUAUAGCAACACACUAGCAUUGUGGCAGUGAUUUCUGCACAAACAAGCAGAAAAUAUAAAAAUGUCCACUAUAGUAAAUUGGCUUGUUUAAAUGUUAAUUUAAUGUUUAACUAUGUUGUAUUGUUUGAAAAUGUAAAGAUGCAUUAAACCUGAGUUAAUUUGUGAUGAGUCAGACUUGGGUGACCAUGCAUCUUCAGACAGAAAACAAACAGAUGUUCACUCCCUCAGCGCUCAACAUGUGGACAAGGCUGGCAAAGUGCUUUUGGCUCUUGUGGAAGUGAAUCUUCUGGUCUUAAGAGAGGAGGAUCCUUCAUCCCAAAUUAAAAUUCUGAACUGCUUGCUGAAAGGAUUUUACCAUCAUCCCCAGCGGAGGAGGUUUCCUUAAUCUGUAAAGUGGAAAAGAGGCGAUAUGUUGAUGCUGGGAUCGCCAACAACUCACCUUUUUUACCAUUGCUGAGGAAAGAGUCACAUUGACCUCAUUGUCUCGCUCGAUUUCGGUGAGGAUGACCCAUUCAAGUCACUGAUAAAAAAAACCAACAUAUACAUGCAAAGAACUACACAUCGACUUCCCUGAAAUGUCAGAAGAGGAGAAAUCUGCUCCAAAGGACUUUUAUGUGUUUAAAGGCCAAAAUAAACCGACAGUAAUUCAUAUUCCUCUUUUCAACAUUGUGAAUUGUGGAGGUAAUUUCCAAGUACUUAUUAGUGAUUGUUUAAUUUUCAUAAUAAUAAUAAUAGUAAUUAUUAUUGAUUUUGUUGAUGGUGGUGGUGUUAUUUGAUGUAUAAAUUAAUAUAGUCAAGAUUAAG